GAUGUUUCCAGAAACUCUGUGCAAAGAACAGAGGCAAGCCUCCAGCCAGGAGCUCAUGAAAUCAUGAACUGAGGCCUCAGUGCAAUAGCUCAUGAGGAACUGAAUUAUUUCAACAGCCAGGGUUGCUCUGAAGACUAAAGCCCUGGGAUCAUUCAUUUUAAAAGAAAAGAACGGUGACUCAUCAUUUCAAGCUUUUCAUUCUGGAAGUUGGAAGUACAAGAUCAGAUUGCCAGCAUCAUCAGGUACUCAUGAGGGCCGUCUUCCAGCUUGCAGACUGCCAACUUCUCAUUGUGUCCUCAGGUGUAAAAACCAUGGACUCUGGUACCAAGAUCCCUGGGUUUGAAUCUAUCUCCAGAACGUCGUUGCUGUGUGACUUUGGAUUUGAUAUCAAAGUAAUGUCAAGUGCUUCUGACCCACUGCAUUAAACGUGUGCUGAGCAGUUGGUGGUAGAAGACAUUAUUGUGAAGGCUGCUCACCACCAAUUUCAUCACUGUUGCUAACUCCAGCUCAUCUAAUCUCUGCAACAUCUGCUGCCAGCACCUUCUCUUGCCUCCUUUUGUGAACAUAGUUUUUUCUUCUGGUUAGAAAAUCAGUUCGAACUUCUUGAGUUUUGUGUUUUAAACUCUUCUCAACUGUUCCCAUGAUUGAUGGAUGCCCAGAGGCGACCUCUUUAUCUCCAGCAACAUAUUUGGCUGUUGGCCCGGUAGAGAGGUACUCCAGAAGCUUGCUGGUUCAUCAUGCUCUCACCUUUAACCACAACUAUUUAUCUGACUCCUUCCAUCUCCACAGCACUGUGUGAGGGAUCAGUGAUAAGAGACGGUGAAAGACAUGCGCAAAUGGAUAAAUAAUAAGCAGGAUAUGUAGAAUGACACAACUAUUGGUGAGUAAUUUAGGAGAUCCAAUAACUAAAAAAAAAAGAUUGGGGACAAGUUCAUGGAAAGAGUAAUCAACUAAGCCUUAACACAUAAAAUUGACAAAUAGAGAAGGCAUGCAAUCCAGUAGAAUAGAGUGCAAAAGAGGUAGAAGACUAAUCGUUUCAAGACAUGUUGAGCCACAACAGCAAUAACAUUGUGACAAAAAACGUCGGUGUAGAUUCAAUGACGGAUCAAGCUGUAUAGACUUUUUUUUACCCUCAUAUACUGAAUAGUCAUUUAAGGUAUACAGUGCCAACAUAAGAGAGAAAGAUAAACUUUUUUUAACACAAGUUGUAGGCCUUGGAAAGAAGUUUUCCAGUAACAAGAUAACACGAUAAUGUACUGUGGUUAUAAGCUCAAAGUGGUAUAUUUGAUUCAGUGUUCCCAGAACCACCAAAACCUUGGAACCAUUGUUUAGCUAAAGCUACUAGAACAACAGAAUAACCUACUUUGUGGCACUGUAAAGUGAAAUUAUACUACACACAAAUACUUGACAUAAAAUACAUUUCCAAACUCAAUUAUUAGGGAUAACAUAAGCACAAAAUGAUGCUUUGCAAACAUCAUGUAUCCUAUAACUGGAGAAAAAAAAUUAAUGACAUGAAGUGAAAUGACUGAGUUCUGAAACUACAUCUCAAUUUAAAUAGCAUAAGCAAUUUAGUAUACAACAUUCUUCAAAAUCAAUUGUUGAAGGUUAACUAUAAUCUACAUACAAAAACAACUUUGUCAACUUUUUAUAUGGAUUUUCCUUCUAAACAUAUUUACUUUAUGUGUAAAAUCAAAAAAUUUCCUGCGUUAAAGGCUAA